CCUACGGGAGGCAGCAGUGGGGAAUAUUGCACAAUGGGGGAAACCCUGAUGCAGCGACGCCGCGUGAGUGAAGAAGUAAUUCGUUAUGUAAAGCUCUAGCAGCAGGGAAGAAAAUGACGGUACGUGAGUAAGAAGCCCCGGCUAACUACGUGCCAGCAGCCGCGGUAAUACGUAGGGGGCAAGCGUUAUCCGGAUUUAAUGGGGGUAAAGGGGGCUUAGGCGGCAGUGCAAGGCUGGAGUGAAAGGGCGGGGCUCAACCCCCGGACUGCUCUGGAAACUGGCCGGAUGGAGGGGAGGAGAGGUAGGUGGAAUGCGUAGUGUAGCGGUGAAAUGCGUAGAUAUUAGGCAGAACACCGAUGGCGAAGGCAGCUUACUGGAGUGUAACUGACGUUGAGGCUCGAAAGCGUGGGGAGCGAACAGGAUUAGAUACCCCUGUAGUC
rnacentral:rRNA from 1 species